rnacentral:lncRNA from 10 species
GGCCUUUUAAGGUCUCUCGACUUCCUCAAAUAGAGGAACGUAUUUUGCACCAAACAGGCAAUUUAAUCACGAUGGUUCUUAAUUUAAAAAGUAUUUUUAAAAUGCUGACUUUAUUUUAAAUCUCGGUCCGACCUCUCUCCUAUUUCCAAAAGGUUAGGUAAUUAAGACCCUUCGAUGGGGAGGGCACGUUGGAGCCCUAAAAGCGACCUAUUCCUGCAGUACUGUAUCAUUUUUACCUCUUUUUAAUUGACUAAAAAUGGGAAUGCCGUUAGGUGAAUAAUUUAAAAAUUAAAACACCAGGUCCCCUUCUAGAUUUCUGAAUGUUUGGAGUAGAAAGGGGAUGUAAAUAUUUGCUCCAGAGCUAAAUUUCACUUGAAAAGGAUGACUGGUUAGGGAAAAUGAAAUAAAGACAAGAUCAUUGCAUUUUGGCCUCGUCGGGCUAAAAACACAAGGCAGACAUCUGACCAGGGCAAACCUUAGAAGCUAAGUCUGGGGCAGAGAUUAAAUGCAAGUUGAAAUAGGAGGAACACGAUCAGGAGCCUUGAGGCUCAAAGGUGGGUUAAAUAAGCUUGCAGCACCCCAUAAUUUAAAGGGACAAAAAGCUGCAAAUGACACAUGAAGCUUUUUUCUGUUAUCUCUUUGAGGCUCCUCUCUCCCCCCAUCCUUUCUGCCCCAAGCUUCCCCACUUCCGUACCCUUUUCCCGUGAUACCUACUCAAACUGCAAAUGGGGUCUUUUCCCAAUUUUUAUCUCCUUUGUUGUUCUUGAUCCCCUUUUCCUCUUCUUUUCUGUCUUUCCUUUACAUAUUCACCUUUUAACUCAUGUUUCCCUUUUUCAUUUCUUCUUUAUCUUCCUUUCCCUUAUGUUCUCUGUCUACCUUUUCCCUGUUAAAUGCCAGCUUUUGCCAUUUCUCUGUAGUUCUGUCAAUCUCCUGUUUGCUUUUUGCCCUUUUUUUUCUUUGAUCUUUCACCCUGGUGACUCUUCUUGGUUACCCACUUCCCUUAAACUUGAAUCCCAUUCCUGUUCUUUCUCAAACUCUUGGCUUCUGGAAUAUUGGGCAUAGUUUGAUGCCUCUGAAUAUCCCUUUGCGCAAGAAGGGUGUAACAAUAGCUAACAACUAUAUAGCCUUUAAGAUUAGAGUACCAGACUGCAUUCAAAGAGCUUUUUAUGUAUUAAGUCAUUAAUCAUUUCCACAACCCUCUAAGGUAGAUACUAUUAUUGUUUCCAUUCUACAGAUGAGAAAAUGCUUACAAAGUGAGAUUGCAAAAUAUUUCCAAGGUCCCAGAGCCAGGAUUUAAGCCCAGACAGUGGGUUCGAGAGUCUGGACCCUGGACGACUCUUACACCUCAAUAUGGACAGAUGGAAGUACAGUUUAGAAAAGGCUGAUGGUGACCAGCUGUUCACCAGCUCUGCUGAGCAAACUGAGCCAAGCUCUAAUGUGAAGACUUCAGGUUAGUAAUAGGAAAAGUUCACCUGUGGUGAGGUUAGAAAGGGAAAAAAAGUACGCUAACAAAGGAACAGAAACUAGAAUGCCAUCUUUGGAUAUGUUUUAAAAUAGGUUGAGUCUUAUCUUUUUAGGAAAGCUUAAUGCUAUCCUGCUGAAAGCCAAGAAGAUACAAGAUGAGCUCAAAGCCCCUUUGAGCUUAUAAUUAAAGAAUUUUGUGAUGCUUUGCUUUCAAUUAAAGAUAUCCAUCUUUCUCCUUUUAAUAGGCGAGGGGUAGCUGCUUCCAUUGCUUUUCUUUGGUUAAGUAAGGAAAUCAUUACCUAUAGAGACACUAAUGAAAGGAAAUACUUAGGCCAAUUCUCCCCCCUGCCUAAAUAUCCUAAGUCCUGCACUCAUUAUAUUCACCCUGUGACUUUAGAAGGCCUUAUCCUGUUUGCAAAGUCUUGGAUUUCCAACAGAAACAGAACUUGCCUGAAAGGAUUAAAGUUUCCAUGGGGAAUAGAGGUUUUCUGCCUCUUUAGGGUUCUGCAAGCCCUACUGCCCUUCUGGAGAAUUAACUCCAGGGUGUUUUAGGAACCCAAGUGUGAUCCAAACUAACUGUACAUCUCUGAUGGCCCCAAAAUCUGCUUAGGGGCGUAGAGUCUCCUGCCUGUGAUACUGUGAAAAUGGCCCAUCUGAAGGGCAGAAGCCAUUCUUGAUCACCUCUGUUUUACAGAGCGGACAAGAAUCUGCAGACGUUUUACAUCAAAGUUAAGCAGAGUCCAAAACAAUCUAAAAAAGUUUUGGGUUGAUGCUAAAAUCAAGGCCUGGAGGGGAUAGCGGGGUGGGAUCUGGACUUACAAAAGCUUCCCUAGGAAUUUCGGCUCUUGGCAUGCACACCUACUCUCAAGGGAGAAGAGUUAAUGUUGUCAGGCACACCACAGAAAGAAGGGUGCCUCAGAGAAGGAUUUAAGGAGGGACGGCAAUUCCACUGCUACUCACCAGAAGCCAGUAUGACUUUAAAAUAUUGAUGAUGUUAUUUGCUGAAAGUACCGGAUUUUAAAUGCCAGAAUAGAAGAUUGGGUUUUCCAGUUGCAUACUCAGCAAAUGAGCAGAAACAGCACACGUGUCCCCGUUUAAUUUGUAAAGGACCUUAAGUCUUUCUGAAGACUAUCAAUUAAUGUGUCUGUAGCCAUAAACAUACCUAUGAACCAUGUUUUACAUUUAUGUAACACUGCUCAAGAAGUUUAUGCACUUAUUAGUCUUUGCAUAGCUUCAAGGAGCAGAUAAUAUUGAGUAUUAGAAAUAAAUUUUAUUUCUGCUGAAAUC